AUGAGACCAUGCCCAGGCUAGUCUGCUGGAAGGAAGUCAGAGGCACACGGAAGAGAGCCACAUUCAGCCAAGGCCAUUCUAGACCAGUUGUUCCCUGUCACUUCACUAAUUGGCCACAGCACAAGGUGCAGCUGACAGCCUGCUUGCAACCACAAGGAUGGCCACCAUGAAGUCAAAGGAGAACUGAGAGAAGAACCAAGAAACAGACCAGGAACCCUGACCGAACUGCUCUGAAAAGCCCCUGCUUCUGGACUCCAGUUCCAGUGGAAGACUCUGAGGAGGACUUAGGCAAGGCAAACCCACCAGAUGAAGGAAGGCUGAAUCCCAGAGUCUCACUGCUCUAGAGAGCUGCUUGACCAAGAACACCUGCAUUGAACCUCGUGUGAGAAAGAAAUAAAGUUCUACUACUAC